CUGAUUAGAUAGUUGGCGGGGUAGAGGCCCACCAAGUCGACGAUCAGUAGCCGGACUGAGAGGUUGAACGGCCACAUUGGGACUGAGACACGGCCCAGACUCCUACGGGAGGCAGCAGUGGGGGAUAUUGCACAAUGGGGGAAACCCUGAUGCAGCGACGCCGCGUGAGGGAAGACGGUUUUCGGAUUGUAAACCUCUGUCUUUGGGGACGAAUUUGACGGUACCGAAGGAGGAAGCUCCGGCUAACUACGUGCCAGCAGCCGCGGUAAUACGUAGGGAGCAAGCGUUGUCCGGAAUUACUGGGUGUAAAGGGAGCGUAGGCGGGAUAGUAAGUUGAUUGUUAAAACUAUCGGCUCAACUGGUAGAUGCGAUCAAAACUGCAAUUCUUGAGUGAAGUAGAGGCAGGCGGAAUUCCUAGUGUAGCGGUGAAAUGCGUAGAUAUUAGGAGGAACACCAGUGGCGAAGGCGGCCUGCUGGGCUUUAACUGACGCUGAGGCUCGAAAGUGUGGGUAGCAAACAGGAUUAGAUACCCUGGUAGUCCACACUGUAAACGAUGAUUACUAGGUGUGGGUGGACUGACCCCAUCCGUGCCGCA
rnacentral:rRNA from 1 species